UGAGACUUGUACAAAUGGCUUCCCUGGUCU
rnacentral:piRNA from 1 species